rnacentral:Y_RNA from 1 species
GGCUGGUCCAAAUGCAGUGAUGUUUACAACUAAUUGAUCAAACAAGUUACAGAUUCCUUUGUUCCUUCUCCAUUCCCACUGCUUCACUUGACCAGCCUAAA